rnacentral:rRNA from 2 species
CGAAUGCUGACAUAAGUAACGAUAAAGCGGGUGAAAAGCCCGCUCGCCGGAAGACCAAGGGUUCCUGUCCAACGUUAAUCGGGGCAGGGUGAGUCGACCCCUAAGGCGAGGCCGAAAGGCGUAGUCGAUGGGAAACGGGUUAAUAUUCCCGUACUUGGUGUUACUGCGAAGGGGGGACGGAGAAGGCUAUGUUGGCCGGGCGACGGUUGUCCCGGUUUAAGCGUGUAGGUGUGUGUUCCAGGUAAAUCCGGUUCACUUUAACACUGAGGCGUGAUGACGAGGCACUACGGUGCUGAAGCAACAAAUGCCCUGCUUCCAGGAAAAGCCUCUAAGCAUCAGGUAACAUCAAAUCGUACCCCAAACCGACACAGGUGGUCAGGUAGAGAAUACCAAGGCGCUUGAGAGAACUCGGGUGAAGGAACUAGGCAAAAUGGUGCCGUAACUUCGGGAGAAGGCACGCUGACAC